CCUACGGGAGGCAGCAGUGAGGAAUAUUGGUCAAUGGACGAGAGUCUGAACCAGCCAAGUAGCGUGAAGGAUGACUGCCCUAUGGGUUGUAAACUUCUUUUAUAUGGGAAUAAAAUGUUUCACGUGUGGGAUUUUGUAUGUACCAUAUGAAUAAGGAUCGGCUAACUCCGUGCCAGCAGCCGCGGUAAUACGGAGGAUCCGAGCGUUAUCCGGAUUUAUUGGGUUUAAAGGGAGCGUAGGUGGAUUGUUAAGUCAGUUGUGAAAGUUUGCGGCUCAACCGUAAAAUUGCAGUUGAAACUGGCAGUCUUGAGUACAGUAGAGGUGGGCGGAAUUCGUGGUGUAGCGGUGAAAUGCUUAGAUAUCACGAAGAACUCCGAUUGCGAAGGCAGUUCACUGGACUGCAACUGACACUGAGGCUCGAAAGUGUGGGUAUCAAACAGGAUUAGAUACCCGAGUAGUC
rnacentral:rRNA from 1 species